rnacentral:tRNA from 1 species
GCGGACGUGGCUCAGUUGGUAGAGCAUCACCUUGCCAAGGUGAGGCUCGCGAGUUCGAAUCUCGUCGUCCGCU